ACCCGCGAGAUGACGUGGUUGUUUCACCUAGGACGAGGACAUGGCAUCCUAUUACCAGCCAUUGCACAAAAUUAAUAGGAUGCCACGUCCUCAUCCUAGAUAGAACAACCACGUCAUCUCACGGGU
rnacentral:pre_miRNA from 1 species